rnacentral:rRNA from 1 species
GAUGAACGCUGGCGGCGUGCCUAAUACAUGCAAGUCGAGCGAACAGACGCGGAGCUUGCUCCUCUGACGUUAGCGGCGGACGGGUGAGUAACACGUGGCUAACCUACCUAUAAGACUGGGAUAACUUCGGGAAACCGGAGCUAAUACCGUAUAACAUGUUGAACCGCUUGGUUCAACAGUGAAAGACGGUCUUGCUGUCACUGAUCGAUGGAUCCGCGCCGCAUUAGCUAGUUGGUAAGGUAACGGCUUACCAAGGCAACGAUGCGUAGCCGACGUGAGAGGGUGAUCGGCCACACUGGAACUGAGACACGGUCCAGACUCCUAAGGGAGGCAGCAGUAGGGAAUCUUCCGCAGUGGGCGAAAGCCUGACGGAGCAACGCCGCGUGAGUGAAGAAGGUCUUCGGAUCGUAAAACUCUGUUAUUAGGGAAGAACAAAUGUGUAAGUAACUAUGCACGUCUUGACGGUACCUAAUCAGAAAGCCACGGCUAACUACGUG